rnacentral:rRNA from 1 species
GACGAACGCUGGCGGCGUGCUUAACACAUGCAAGUCGUACGGUAAGGCCCUUUCGGGGGUACACGAGUGGCGAACGGGGGGGUAACCCGUGAGUAACCUGCCAACAACUUUGGGAUAACGCUAGGAAACUGGUGUAAUUACUGGAUAUGUGCUCCUGCUGCAUGGGGGGGGUUGGAAAGCUCCGGCGGUUGUGGAUGGACUCGCGGCCUAUCAGCUUGUUGGUGGGGUAGUGGCCUACCAAGGCGGCGACGGGUAGCCGGCCUGGGAGGGUGACCGGCCACAUUGGGACUGAGAUACGGCCCAGACUCCUACGGGAGGCAGCAGUGGGGAAUAUUGCACAAGGGGCGCAAGCCUGAUGCAGCAACGCCGCGUGCGGGAUGACGGCCUUCGGGUUGUAAACCGCUUUCAGCAGGGACGAAGCUUUUUGUGACGGUACCUGCAGAAGAAGCACCGGCUAACUACGUG